AGCAGCCCGGGCCCGCCCCCCCGCCCCCAGCCCGGACUGCGCAGGCGCGGUGAGGCCCGGAAGCGGCGUCACUUGCUGGGGUGGGGCCGCCACCUGCGCCCGACGCUCCGAGGCUCUCGGGCCCCUCCGGCCCCGGCCCCGGCUCGCUCCGGGCUGGGGCCGCCUUUCGGAUGCAGGCGUGCUCCCCCGCCCCUGGGAGCACUCUUGGGGACCUCUAACAGAAGGUCGCCGCAACGACGUUUCCUGGAUCUGCUCAAAACACUAGAGUGUUCUCCCGGGCCGACCAGAGCUGUGGGGUGGAGGGUGGGUGCAGGCCGUUCUGCGGACAGAUGAGUGGAUUAUUUGAUGAUUCUGGAGAUGGGGGAGCCCGGGAAGGGAGUAUAACCUGAUUCGGGUUGCUACCCCGCCCUGGUGUCCGCACCUUUAAGACAAGGAUACCCUUAUGCCAUUUCCUGCUCGCCUGUUUCAGUUAGACUGAAGCCUUGACUUUAAGGAAAGUACUUGUGAAACAAGUCAGGCAAGGAUGUAUGGAAGGGAAGGGCACUGUGAGGCCGAUUGAUUUUUUUUUAAACGGGGCAUCUUAAAAAGCUGAUGGAUUCCACUUUCUGCUCCAGAACUCCUACGCCCAUCAGCAUCUUUUCACCAGAUACAGUAACCACAAUUUUCGGGCUGUCCGGCUUGGGUUUCUUCCACAUCUCUUCAAAAGAACAAACCAAAACCACAAAAGGAAUGGGAGAGAAGGAGGAAUUUUUGAUAAUGUGCCGGGGAGGAAGACACACUGAAGGGCAGGAGAGGGCCAGCUUGGGAUUCCAGGGAACACAGAGCCCAAGGCACAGGCCUGCUGCCCCUGAGGGCUCUACCUGCAGCUGGAGGUGAGGUGACCCAGUGAAAAGGAAUACAGGAAUGUGUCACACAACUUUGGGUUGUUUAGACUUCCUGGGCCUUGUUCAACACCUUGGGUUGGAGAGCUCCAGCCUUCUGGCUUCCCUGAUCUGGCUGAUGCAUUCAACAUCACAAUCUCAGUGGAAAAAAUAAGAAACCACCCAACUCCCUUCUGAAGAAAUUUCUGAUUUUUCCACUGUACAGCCCUUGAAGUCUAUUUCUCUCCCACUGUUAAAGUACCAGCAUACAAAUCAUAAAUGUACAAGGCUGAAUUUUUACCAAGUGUGCACUCAUAGAACCAGCACCCAGCUCAAGAAAUGGACUACUACUAGGCCCCUAGCAUCCCUACUACCGUGGUAAUCACAGCCCUGCCCUGUCUUCCUAUACCAAAGGUCAGUUUUGCCCAAUUUUGAACUUUUAUUCAACAUCCUAUUUGUGAGACUUACUUGUGUGUAGUGUACACUUUCAUUCUGUAUUCUAUUUCACUGUAUGGGUAUACUACAUUCUAGCCCCAAACUGCAAACAACCCAAAUACCCAUGAAUGAUGCCGUACAGUGUACUGUGGGACCGUUCUAUCACAAGUCUUUCGAUCUUCAGCAGACACUCCUAACGGUCCUGUGGGGUGGUUUAACAAUCGCAUUCCUGCCCCCGGCAGUGAAGUGGAUGGAAGCCCCAGCUUCUCUGCGUGCUUACCAGCACUUGGUGUUUUUCAUGUUAGCCAUUCUAGUGGGUGUGUAAAUAGUAUUUCAUUGUGGUUGAAGUUUGCAUUUCCCUGAUGACUAAUGAAAAUGAGCAUUUUUUUCAUGUUUGGAUUUUCUUCUGUGAAGUACCUGUUCAAGUGUUUUGCCAAUUGUUCCACUGGGUUGUCUCAUUUACUUUAAAUUUUUAUGUAUUUUAAAAUGGAUACAUGGUUUACAAACCUAACAAGUUACAAACCUAUUCCUUGUACAUUUUCCCAGGGAUUGUAUAUACAAACGUAUAUAUGCCCCAGAUCGUCUUUUUCAAAUAGUUUUACACCGUAGUUAGUUGGUGAUGGACAGGGAAGCCUGGUGUGCUGCAGUCCAUGGGAUGGCUAAGAGUUGGACAUGACUGAGCAACUGACCUGAAUUGACACCACAGAGUUACUAUACCUCAAAUAUCACUGCACAGUAUUCCAUCCGUAUGUAUAACAUACUCUACUUAAUAUACUGACAGCAUAUAGGGCGAUGCAUUUUUAUGCUUCUACAAACAUUCUACUAUAAAUACUGGAGUACAGACAUCUUUGUGUGCAUGAGGGACUCUAUCUGGAGGAUAAAUUGCUGAGUUGGGUCAAAGCAUAAAUACAAUUAAAUUUUUGUGAUUCAUACUUCUAUCUUGCUCUGCAAAGAGCUGAAUAAAGUGCCACCAAUUUGGUCUUCCUGGCCAACGCACAGAAUCGCCAAACUUUAAUGUUCAUCAACUGACUAGGUGAAAAAUGGGAUCUCUUGAUACUCUUAAAUCUGGAUUCAUUCCUUUUACUUUGAAUGAGGCUGAGCAUCUUUUCAUGUGGUUGAACAGAGGCUCCACUUUAAAAGAACUAUUUCGUGGGAUGAAUGGUUAGCUGCACACCAGCUCCUGAUGGAUACAGAGAACUGAUCCUGGAGCUGAGAUGUCCUCAUUCCUGUGAGGACGUCCAAGGGUAGGUGCUUGGUUCCAUGGGCCUUAUGAAAUCAAGGAGAGACCCCCCAAAAAGUGUGUUGAACCACAGUCUCAAAAUAGGAAGAAACCUUAGAAAUCAAGUCUAAUCUUGUAUUUUUUUAGAGAUUAAAAAAAAGCUGAGGCUUAGAGAAGGGAAAUGCCUUGCAGAAGACCACAUACCAAGUCUGUUGAGAAAGAGAUGAAAAUCCUUGAUAAGAGUUGAAUUGUUUUUGUCAACUGCUGUCAUCCUGUUAGAUAUUUUAAUGAAUGAUUUCAUCAUGCUAUUUCCUUUAGCAACAGCGCAAUUUUCAAGUUACAGUAAACAAGCCCAUACAAGUGUGGGGGCUGAGGAGAAUUACAAGUCUUUUUUGUGAAAGACUUUGAAAUGGGUCACAAAAUUAUUGCGUGUCUUCAAUGGACAACUAGGUGUUGUCGUGCACACCCUUGGAUUAUCUGGGUCUAUGGAUCUUUUUCUUUGCUUUAAGCUAUUUCUAACUCUAUAGGUUUUUUAUUUAUUUGGCAGCCUCAGGUCUUAGCUGCAGGCCUAGGGAUCUUUCGUUGUGGUGAAGGGACUCAGUAGCUGUGGCACGUGCAGGCUUAAUUGCCUUCCAGCACACAGGAUCUUAGUUCCCAGGCCAGGGAUCGAACCCAUGUCCCCUGCACUGGAAAGUGGAUUCUUAACCACUGGACCAUGAGGGAAGUUCCAUUCUAUAGGUUUAAGUUUUAUUUAUUUAUUUAUUUAUUUAUUUGGCUGGACUGGGUAUUAGUUGUGGCACUUGGGAUCUUUAGUUGCUGUGUGUGGGAUCUAGUUCCCUGACCAGGGAUCAAACCUGGGCUUCCUGCACUGGAAGUGUGCAGUCCCAGCCACUGGAGCCAACGGGGGGGAGGGGGGUCCCAACUCUAUAGGUUCUGGAGAACAGACGGCAAGGCAAGUGAUUCUGUUACCAAGGCUGUUGCCCCAGAAUCUUGCCCUUGCCCUUCCUUCAAAUGUUUUUUUUCCUUUAAUUUACUUUUUAACUUUUUGGCUGUACCAUGUAGCAUGCGGGACCUUAGUCCCCGACUAGGGACCGAAUCUGUGCCUCCUGCAGUGAAAGCUCAGAGACCUAACCACUGGAACCACCACAGAACUCCAAAACCAAUUAUUCUUAUCUAAGGAAAUCCCGUGGACAGAGGAGUCUGGUGGGUUAUAGUCCAUGGGGUUGCAAAGAGUUGGACAUGACUGAGCGACUGAGCAGCCACAAGUUUCAGGAGGAAGAUGCAAAAAGACAAAGUAACAAGGACUGGUUAGAACAAACUAGGCCAAAGACUGGGGAAGAUCUGGCUUCCCGGGGACCUUGAGUCUCAUUAUCAGCUCACGGUAAUAUACUAGCACACGCUAAAUGACACACUCAUCAGCGCCAGAACAGUUGACAACUGCCAGGACAACAACUGAAAAAGCCCAUACAAGCACUGCAAAGGAGAGGUGCAACAGUUCCGGGUCCCAUGACACCCCUGUUCUCCACUAAGUCAUGAAUAUUCUUUCCACUCCUUGCAAUUCCUUCCUUUUAACCUUGACCUUCUAAUAUAUUUGGUGGCUCCACCAGAAUUGGGUUGAGAGCUGAUUUGCAAACGAGGUUCCCCCUUUCCAUUCUUUGGCCAUUGAAUAUAGCUUGUGUGAUUCCACUCUCAGCACCAGUUUCAGGAAAAAGACAAGAGGUCUCCAUGCAAGUCCAGUUGACCUGCUUGGUAACAAUUCCUGCCCACUGAUAUCUGACAUUUAAAUGAAGCUUGUCUGGCAGAAGUUCAACUGACUUCCCUACUGUCAGUUCAGUUCAGUUCAGUCGCUCAGUUGUGUCCGACUAUUCGCGACCCCAUGAAUCGCAGCACACCAGGCCUGCCUGUCCAUCACCAUCUC
ensembl:lncRNA